GCCAAGCACUGAAUAUCUACAUAGGUUUUCUAUUUUUUUAUUUUCAAAGCGCAAUGGCAGUGGAACAAAACAGGACAUGAAGACGCAUCCUUCACACCGUUGUUUUCUGAAUGCUUUUUAAUCAAGGGUAAAUACAAAAGAUGCCUUGUUUGUUAACUAAUUUGUGGAAAGCAGGAGUCACUGACUCCGAGACUGCAUCCUGUUACCCCGUGGGCUGUAACUGCUGGUAUCAGAGGAACACACUCGCCUUUCCACACUUCUUAAUGUCUGUAACACUACUUCAGAGGUUUAUAACUUCACAGCAGAAGGAACACCUCAGCACUCGGAACUUGGAAGUUAGUUUACGAUGCUAGAUGCAUAAGGAUGCUUACUUGUCCUCUGUCGCUUCAGGUUGUUGCAAUACGUUGUUAAAGGCUAUUUCUACUAAUUAAGGUUUUUCACUAUGGUUGUGAUGUAGUAAGGAGUAAAUACUUCUCGUGUUCAGAGCACAUUGUACCCAACCUCCUCCACUCCUCUCACCACUUACAAGGGACUGAGCCAGAUGAGCAGUCUGGACAAAGCAAAGGAAGCAUGAAGUGAGGCUGCAGUCUCUCAAGGAAAAGACAGCUUUGCCUGCAGUUUACACAUUCCAUGGGAAAAAGGAAGAGCCAUAUGUCCUAUUAAAACGUCAUUGAGACUCUAUCACAUUUGUUGAUGAAGGCGAGACUUUGUCUGUCUAAUUUGUUUAUGUAUAAAGAGACUUGGAAAUCUUCACAGGAAUUAAACAUAUAUGCAAAUUUGUACAUAAAGUAGCAUGAACAUCAUUACUAGACUGCUUACGCGUGAAAGGGUUAUCUUGGAACAAACCAUCCAGCUGACUAGGACUGACUAGGACCUUUGCAAUUCCUUUGUGUAACCCAUUUUACAAUUGCACAUCAGCUUUAACAUGUCAUAGACAUUGGUCCAUAUUUUCCCAUGUCGUACACCCUUCUCAUAAUGGUCUUGUUUGCAAGACUGCUGUAAAGUACCCUGUGAACUAGAAAACAUAACUCACAGAAAUUUGUCUUUGAACUUGCUGGCACUGAAAGUUGGCACUGAGACGAAGCAUUUCCUGUCCCUCCUGACUCCUCUUUGACUGCACUUGAGCGAGUUGUUCUUCUGUGCACUGUAUAGCAACUUCCAUGAUAACAAAGCAGACAAGGGCUCUAAGCUGCUGCUCACAUUACAGCACAGUUCGCAUUUUCCCAGAAAAUUCAGUGAGGGUAAAACUUUCUUUUCAACUUCAUCACUGAACCCGUGUUCAUUAAAUGUCAGCAGUGCUUGAAAGAGCAUGCCUAUCACCUUGGUCUUUGGUCUUGGACAAUAAAACUGCCUUUCCAGAGAACCAAAUGUCAGAGAUACUAGACCAAAUAAUGGUUACAAUUCCAAAGGAAGUAAUGUAGUCUUAUUCAUAAAUGGGAUUAACAUUUUAGACAUUCAUUUUAAACACUACCUCAGUUAACAGAGUAGAAAAUCUGUGGUUUCGUCCCUUGAGAGUUAAUGAUAACUAUUCUUGUUUGUUUUUCUUCACACAAAACUAUGCCCAUUCUCGCGCCCAAGUCAGCCAUCAUGAACCUGAGGCUGUGCCCUAGUGUCCUAAGCCAAGGAUUGUGUUUUCACUUUGACUGUUACUUUGAAAGGUGUGUGUGUGUGUGUGUGUGUGUGUGUGUGUGUGAUCAUAUCUGCCUAUAGCACUUACUUUGGGAAGAUAUCAGAGCUUUGUGAUGAUCAGUAUACUGGGGGAAAUUGUCUAUGCUUAAAUUUAUAGUGCUAUUUGGUUUAACCAUGGUUUCACCAACAGGUGUAAUACAUUUCUUUUUAAGUACAUGUAUAAAAGUAGACUUUUAUGACGAAAACGACAUGCAGUGCCAAGUGAUUAGCAUAGGUGUUUAAGACUAUUAAAUUAUAGCAGAAAAGGUUAUGAAUGAUGUCAAUGGUAAUAGCAAUCAUUGAAAAAUUGUCUAUAAAUAUUAGAUAUUACCAAAAUGUCAAUACCGUAGUUUUUCAAGAGUUUAGAAUUAAUCUUAGUCAUAUAAAUUUGUACUAUUGAUAAUUAUUUAAUAAUUUGGAGGAGUUUGAACAGUUAAGCUGGUUGUAAACUGUGAAUUUCUAAUUGUAAAUUGUCAUUUCUAAUUGAAAUUUUUUCAAGAACAGAUUUCAGCUUCACAUACUAAGUACUGACAAAUAAAAAAGUGAGAAAUUUAGUAUUUAUAAGAAAAUAGGCUCUAAAAUGUCUUAUGCUUUUCUGUUUCUGCUUAGAGUAUAAUGGAGGAAGACAGUGUCCCCUGACCUAAGUGUUUCUAAUAAAGAGUAAGUGUAGAGACAUCCCACAAGACAGCAGCAGUGCAAGGCUCUUAGGAAGUGUGUGCACUGUUGCUGUGGUGAUGUAUCCAAGUCACCAGGAGCCGUGUCCUCAGGAGCUUUCGGCUCUUGUCCAGAGCUUGAGACAGUUGAAGCUGGGUUCCAUCACUGAGACCAGAUGUGCGUAGGGGCUGCUAGUGUGUGUGUAAACUGCCCACUGCUGUUUCCAUGCACUCUCAGCCCCUUCAGCUGAUGCCCCUGGUGCCCCACUCAAAGCACAGACCAUUAAGCAAUAAACAAAAUUGUCAUUCAAAUUAUAAUUGUGGUUAUUCUCCUGUGAUAAGAGGUGCUAAUUUUGUGUGAGAAGAACAUGUGACCUCUUUGGAAAUAUAGUUUGGAAGUAAAGUUUUUCCCCCUCUUCUUGUACUUCCAUUUUGUCCCAAAUUCACAGUUCAUGAAAGAAAAGUAAAAUUGUUUAGGAGACUUCUAAGAAGAGCUGCUUGCAAUAAACAUUUCAGAUUUUCCCGAGUGUGAGUUGGGAAGGUCUCCAUUUCCUCCAUACUGACAAAGCCUGUUGUUCCAACGUCUCUUAGCUUGGAGAGUGUCUCUACACUGAGUCUCACCUCAGCCUGCCAGUGACCCUGAGGUCACUGCUGAGGAAGACACAGGAGUCUGCACUAGUCUUUACAAGAGCCGUUGUCAUUUCAGGUCCCCGGGGGUUCAUUACAGUACAUUUAUACAACUCACAAGAGUGUGGGAUUCCGCCCCUUUGAGUAUUUUUAUAGUUAGGUGGAUAACUGCCGCAGAUGCAUGGAUUGCACAUUUUGACUCUAUAAUACUUAGUAUGAAAAAUUAAUUUAUGCCAAAAAAAAAGGAAACAUAUCUUACAAUUUCCCCAACUAGGUUGAUCUAGCACAAGAUGCAAAGUCUUGGGGCAGAGCGGGAGUGGUAAAAUCUUUUAAUGUAUGAUUGUUGAAAAAUGUUCCAUUACUAGCCUGUCAAAAACCCUAAUGAUGCAUUGUAAAACAAAUGAUGUAAAUUAAAUUAGCUUUGAAAAGUGGUAAGGGAUUAUAAAGAGGAUCUCAGAUUUAAUGCUCUCUGACCACAUGACCUUUUUUUUUUUUUUUUUAGUAAUACGCUGCUACAUUUUUGGAGGUUCUGGUGUUUGUAGGUCACUGAACAGACAUUGAAAUCUGAUUUAUAUUGUAUAACUGUAACAUAGAAAGAAAAAGUAUUUAUAUAUUUUCCUUAAGAAUAUUUCAUUGAGUUGUGUAUAAUUUAAAUAAGAUUUGUCCCAAAAUGGUUUUGCUCACUUUGAUUUUUUUGUUGUUGUUAUUGUGGUUGUAUUGUUUUUGUACAAUGUGUACAGUUUAUGUUAAGGGCAUUAAAGCCUCCUGAAGCAUAAUCUUAUCAAAGGGAUUCAUUGUUAAUAAAAUGUACUUAAAAUUCUU
rnacentral:lncRNA from 1 species